AUACCCACGAGAAGGGCAAGUAUCUCUUAUCCUUUUCUUCUUCUCUUGUUCGACUUCCUCUUUCCCCUUCCGGUUCUGUGGAUUUCAUGGCAGAUCGUGGUGUCUCCGUUCUUGCUGUUGCUGCAUCGUUUCUUCGAUUUAGAUCCAUAUCGAUUGGGGGAUCAAUGCAGGAUUUUGAGAGCUUUCAUCAUGAUUGGGGGCUGACUAGGUGUAGAAUCUUGCCUUUUUCUAUUUCAAUCAUGAUAAAAUAUUUCCUCUCAAUUGGGUGGUACCCAAUUUGAUCCUUGGGUCACCAUUCAAAAAGAAUUAUCCACAUCUAUUGUUGGAAGAAUCACCUUGGGAUUAAGGGGGUCGUGGUGAUGCUGAUUACUUGGCUGUUUGGGAUCAUGUCUUAAUUCCGAUUACAAUAGCUUCUGAUUAGGUAUGAUUCUGAUUUCUGGAAUUUGAUGCGUUGCUGGCGAUGAUGAGUCUCUUUCACGACGGGAGGGAUUGACCGGAGGUUCGCGAGAAGAGGUUUUAGUUGUGCACUUUUGUAUUUUCUCCUUCUGUUGUCUGUACAAUUCCUGUGUGUCUUCUAUCUUUGGGAAUGGAUCAUUACUUCGCGAUUGUAUUACUUUCCUGCAUUCAACUUUUGAAAAUAGACACGUAUCCAAAAUCAAAUGCUACUUAUUUGA